rnacentral:lncRNA from 1 species
CAUCCUUGCCCUACUGGGGAAUUUCUCUUCAAACUGCAGGAAUAUACAAAGAAGUCUUGUCCACAUGCAGAAGACCAUCGUAGUAAGAAUACUCUGCUCCACAAGAUAUUCUCCUGCAGACCCCUUGUUGCCUGGGACUCUGCAGACUCCUGUCCUCUCCUGCCACUUUGUUUGUCUCCUCAAGUCCUGGGCAUGACACUGAUGCUCCUCAGGUCUCUUCAAGUCACUGCCUGUGGGAGAACUCUGAGCCCCCUCUGGGUGUGAGCAACAGCCCCAGUCUGUUCUAGAUCCUGUCUGUUCCAGAUCCCAUCCCAUUGCCAGUGCUUGCAAGGUGAGUUGACAUUCACUGUGCUG